AACGAACGCUGGCGGCAUGCCUAACACAUGCAAGUCGAACGAGACCUUCGGGUCUAGUGGCGCACGGGUGCGUAACGCGUGGGAACCUGCCUUUAGGUUCGGAAUAACUCAGAGAAAUUUGAGCUAAUACCGGAUGAUGCCUUCGGACCAAAGAUUUAUCGCCUUUAGAUGGGCCCGCGUUGGAUUAGCUAGUUGGUGGGGUAAAGGCCUACCAAGGCGACGAUCCAUAGCUGGUCUGAGAGGAUGAUCAGCCACACUGGGACUGAGACACGGCCCAGACUCCUACGGGAGGCAGCAGUGGGGAAUAUUGGACAAUGGGCGAAAGCCUGAUCCAGCAAUGCCGCGUGAGUGAUGAAGGCCUUAGGGUUGUAAAGCUCUUUUACCCGAGAUGAUAAUGACAGUAGCGGGAGAAUAAGCUCCGGCUAACUCCGUG
rnacentral:rRNA from 1 species